rnacentral:rRNA from 1 species
UACGAAGGGGGCUAGCGUUGCUCGGAAUCACUGGGCGUAAAGGGCGCGUAGGCGGGCUCUUAAGUCAGGGGUGAAAUCCCCAGGCUCAACCUGGGAACUGCGUCUGAUACUGGAUGGCUUGAAUCCGGGAGAGGGAUGCAGAAUUCCAGGUGUAGCGGUGAAAUGCGUAGAUAUCUGGAGGAAUACCGGUGGCAAAGGCGGCAUCCUGGACCGGCAUUGACGCUGAGGAGCGAAAGCCAGGGGAGCAAACGGG